UACGAAGGGGGCGAGCGUUGUUCGGAUUUACUGGGCGUAAAGGGCGCGUAGGCGGCCGGGUCAGUCGGGCCUGUAAGUGCGGGGCUCAACCCCGUGAUGGGCUCGGGACGGCCCGGCUGGGGCGCGGUCGAGGGAGACGGAAUGCCGGGUGUAGUGGUGAAAUGCGUAGAGAUCCGGAGGAACACCAAAGGCGAAGGCAGUGUCCUGGGGAGUACCUGACGCUCAGGUGCGAAAGCCAGGGGAGCGAACGGG
rnacentral:rRNA from 1 species